rnacentral:rRNA from 1 species
UUAGAGUUUGAUCCUGGCUCAGGACGAACGCUGGCGGCGCGCCUAACACAUGCAAGUCGAACGAGCGAGAGAGAGCUUGCUUUCUCAAGCGAGUGGCGAACGGGUGAGUAACGCGUGAGGAACCUGCCUCAAAGAGGGGGACAACAGUUGGAAACGACUGCUAUACCGCAUAAGCCCACAGCUCGGCAUCGAGCAGAGGGAAAAGGAGCAAUCCGCUUUGAGAUGGCCUCGCGUCCGAUUAGCUGGUUGGUGAGGUAAUGGCCCACCAAGGCGACGAUCGGUAGCCGGACUGAGAGGUUGAACGGCCACAUUGGGACUGAGACACGGCCCAGACUCCUACGGGAGGCAGCAGUGGGGAAUAUUGCACAAUGGGGGAAACCCUGAUGCAGCGACGCCGCGUGGAGGAAGAAGGUCUUCGGAUUGUAAACUCCUGUUGUUGAGGAAGAUAAUGACGGUACUCAACAAGGAAGUGACGGCUAACUACGUGCCAGCAGCCGCGGUAAAACGUAGGUCACAAGCGUUGUCCGGAAUUACUGGGUGUAAAGGGAGCGCAGGCGGGAAGACAAGUUGGAAGUGAAAUCUAUGGGCUCAACCCAUAAACUGCUUUCAAAACUGUUUUUCUUGAGUAGUGCAGAGGUAGGCGGAAUUCCGGUGUAGCGGUGGAAUGCGUAGAUAUCGGGAGGAACACCAGUGGCGAAGGCGGCCUACUGGGCACCAACUGACGCUGAGGCUCGAAAGUGUGGGGUAGCAAACAGGAUUAGAUACCCUGGUAGUCCACACCGUAAACGAUGAUUACUAGGUGUUGGAGGAUUGACCCCUUCAGUGCCGCAGUUAACACAAUAAGUAAUCCACCUGGGGAGUACGACCGCAAGGUUGAAACUCAAAGGAAUUGACGGGGGCCCGCACAAGCAGUGGAGUAUGUGGUUUAAUUCGACGCAACGCGAAGAACCUUACCAAGUCUUGACAUCCCUUGACGAUGCUGGAAACAGUAUUUCUCUUCGGAGCAAGGAGACAGGUGGUGCAUGGUUGUCGUCAGCUCGUGUCGUGAGAUGUUGGGUUAAGUCCCGCAACGAGCGCAACCCUUACUGUCAGUUACUACGCAAGAGGACUCUGGCAGGACUGCCGUUGACAAAACGGAGGAAGGUGGGGAUGACGUCAAAUCAUCAUGCCCUUUAUGACUUGGGCUACACACGUACUACAAUGGCGUUAAACAAAGAGAAGCAAGACCGCGAGGUGGAGCAAAACUCAGAAACAACGUCCCAGUUCGGACUGCAGGCUGCAACUCGCCUGCACGAAGUCGGAAUUGCUAGUAAUCGUGGAUCAGCAUGCCACGGUGAAUACGUUCCNCGGGCCCUUGUACACACCGCCCGUC